UACGGAGGGGGCUAGCGUUGUUCGGAAUUACUGGGCGUAAAGCGCACGUAGGCGGACUACUAAGUCAGGGGUGAAAUCCCGGGGCUCAACCCCGGAACUGCCUUUGAUACUGGUAGUCUCGAGUCCGGAAGAGGUGAGUGGAAUUCCGAGUGUAGAGGUGGAAUUCGUAGAUAUUCGGAGGAACACCAGUGGCGAAGGCGGCUCACUGGUCCGGUACUGACGCUGAGGUGCGAAAGCGUGGGGAGCAAACAGG
rnacentral:rRNA from 1 species